GGUUUCCGUCGUCCGUCGGGCUUUUUGCAAUUUACCCCUUGAAAAAACUGUAAUCAACCCGCGAUCCUUCUCUGUAACUCCAUCACUCCUUGUCUCUAACUCCAUCUCCUCCAUCGUUGGCUACGGCCCGGCGCCCUACCCCCAUAGCCACCUAGCUCCGUCCGGCGAGGUACGACCCGACGGCCGGCGCGUCCUGCCCACAUAUCCGCCUAGAUCCGUCGUGCCCACUGCCAAGUGAAGCCUUUCUUGGGUCAAUGCCCAAAACAUCGAGCCAGGAGAGCGCCCCGCCCAACCCCGUCCGGCGAGGUACGGCCCGACGCCUGCCCCCAUAGCCACCCAGCUCCGUCCGGCGAGGUACGAACCGGCGCGUCCCACCCCCAUAUCCGCCCAGGUCCUUCGUCAAGGUACGUCCCGGCUCCCCCGGCGCGCCCCGCCCCCAUGGCCUCCCAGCCCAGCUCCGUAGUUUCAACCAUGCGAUGGGGAGAUGACCGGAGCCUGCUGCCCCAUGCCGAGAGGGCGGCGAGGUUUCCGCCGGUAAGCCCCGUGCCCGUCCUCCUCCGGCGCUGCACGGACUGGCUCCAUCCGUGAUCCGAGUCCCGGGAGCCCCCGUACCCAUGGCUGCCUCCGAUACAAACUCUGCUCCAAUACAUCUCUUCCAUACGAUUUCAGACAUGGACUAUGGCUUUGCCUAUUCCGCGAGCCAAUAAAGAGCGCGCGAGACCCUCCACAGGAAAACAAAUCAAGUGCAAGUUCCAUCGUCCCUCGAUCAAAUAACGUCAGCGACUAAACCAGAACUCAAUCCGCCAAAUCGGAGUUCUGCCCACGCGUGCUCCACUCAUGGUUAGGGACGUAUUUGUGCUUCUUUCAGAUUCAUUGAUCGUUAAUUGAGAUUCAUUGAUCGUUAAACCUAAAAGAAAGAUUCAGGUUGCAGGUUACAUGUUGCUCACUGAAUUAUGCUCAUUGAUCUGACAGUUUUUCUGUUACUGUUGCAGAAAAAGUGAGAGAGGAGCAGGCAGAGUAUGGGAGGCCACCAGAACCACCUCCACCGAGCCGUUCUUGGUCGCAAUUUUACUCCUUAAUUUCUGGGAUUUCAAUCUUGAUUGAUUGCUUGGUGAUCUUCUGCUCGGAGAGGAUUUUCUUGGAUUUAUUUGAAGUAAACUGCAGGCUGUUACAGCCUAGAGUUUUGAGGAUUUCAGAUGGGAUUUAAAAGACGAUUUCAUUCAUGAUUGCUUGCUUGGUCAUCUUCUGCUCGGAGAGGAUUUUCUUGAAUUUAUUGAAGUAAAGCUGCAGGCUGUUACGGCCUAGAAUUUUGAUGAUUUCAUAUGGGAUUUAGAAGAACUAGGGUGGAUGACUCGAGCCAUACUGCUCUACUCUUCGGGCACCAUGGCGGUGAGGAAUAGGUUCAUCAUGAUGCAAGGCAAUUUCAUCUCGACCAUGGUGAUGUUGGACCAGUACUACCUCUGCUUCCUGUCCAUAUUCCAGAUCUUUGGCAUCUCCUUAAUAACAUUUGGCCACUAGCGAACGGGACCUCGCCAUGCUCCUUGCCGGAGAGAGAGUUGGUCAGCGGGCUGCCGCUGGAUUCGGCCAUUGGCCACCAUCCCGGCGUAGCAGGUUCUCUAGCUACGUAUCCAAGACAGAAUUCCACGCCGUGCUACUUUUUCUGCCGAUGGCCUGAUUGUGUUGCUGCUUGUUCGUCCUAUCUGCUGCAUUAUAGCCAUCGUCACUUACCUGCUUCAACUAUUUCAUCAUAUAUGAUGUAUCACUUACACACACUUCCGGUGCAAAGUUUGGCAGUACCAAGCAUACGUAGGCAUUGCAGCUAACUGUCUUACCUGUUUGCGUUUGCUCAAGUUUAGCUAACAGAAAAUGGUUGGCUUCAGUUGCAUCAUCAGACAACCCUGAAUUUUCUUGUUCUUUUUCCAUGUAGAUUUCUAUCCCAGGAUGGGGCUCUUCUCUAAGCUGAUUGCCAUGUACUUACUUUUAAGGGGAGCAGGUACAACAUAGGUAUAAAAGAGAGUCUAAUUCAGCACAUGCCUUCUCUUCAUAAUGUAGAGGUUGUGCCGAAUGCGGUGACGCUGAAGUUUGCUACACUACGAGCAGCUGGGCGACGAUGCCAUGCAUCUGCAGGGAUUGAGGGGCAAGGUCGUAGUGGCCUUUGAGAAGAGGAGAUUUGGAGGAAAUCCCGUGCAAUCUUUCUUUAGCUUCUGGUGCUGCCCAACGGCGGAAAACACAGGAGUUCGUACUCUCGGCGAUGAAGCUUGACCAGGCUGCCAUCUACCUCAAGAGGAGCAGGAUGUGCAGUCUGAGCACAACCUGGUAAACCUGAUGAUUUUUAAGCGCCUGCGAAAGCCAAGCCAAUAAGAUGACCGCAUACACACAAUUCGUCUACUCUAGGGGAUUUGGUAGCUGCAUGUUGUUUCUUCUUAAUAAAGAUAAAUUUCAGAUUA